AUUAUUAAUCUUUAUAAUUUUACUAUCAAAUCCACCUUCAAUAAACAUUUCAAAUUUAUAUUCAUUUAAAUAUUUUUAUUGUAACCCAUUUCUACUUAAAUAUUAGCUACACCUUGAUCUGAUAUAUUUUCUUUUUAAAAAUUAUGAAAAUUAACAUUCUUAUAAAAUAUUCUAAUAACGACGGUAUAUAAACUGAUUACAAACUUAAGUAAGGUCCAUCGUGGAUUAUCGAUUACAGAACAGGUUCCUCUGAAUAGACUAAAAUACCGCCAAAUUUUUUAAGUUUCAAGAACAUAACUACUACUACCUUAGUUUUUAAAUUUACAUUUUAAAUAAUAGGGUAUCUAAUCCUAGUUUAUUAUUAAAAUUUUCAAGCUUCAAUUAUUUUAUAUAAAAAAUUUAUAAAUUUAAAAUUUCACCUAAUAAAUUUAUUUUUAUUUUAUAAAUAAACAACUUAACUUUAACCAAAGAAAAUUUAUUUGCAUUAUUCGUAUAACCGCGGCUGCUGGCACAAAUUUAGCCAA
rnacentral:rRNA from 1 species